UUCAUAAAAGCUUCACAAAAGACAGUUCUCUGUCCUGUUUAGAAAUAUGUGGACCUUUUUAAAGUAUCAGGUCUCUUCCCUGGCCUCUCAGACAUGGUACCAUUUCUAUUGGAGUCAAUAGGAUUCUAGAAUGAUGUGGUGCCUGACUAAAACCAUACUACCAGCUAUUCUAGGCUCUAGCUUGCAGACAGCAGAUCAUGGAACUUCUCAGCCUCCAUAAUCACAUCAAUCAAUUCCUUAUAGUACAAUAAGGCUUAUUUUAAUAAGCCCCUUCUGUUUCAGGUGAAGAAAUCCAAGUCCUGAUUGGUCAACUGACUUGGCCAAGCUCACACUGGUCUUUAGAGCCUGGCCUUCUGUCUCCCAGUACGAUCUCCAUUGAACCAUACCUCUCCUGAACCCUGGAAGCUGGAUAGCCCUGGAAUUUAGGAAAAUGAACUGAAGAGGACACACAGCACACAAUAAAAGGAGCCCUUUAUUGAUCUCAGGAAGAACUGAAGGUCUGUUGAAAAAGUGUGGGAAUCAGCUCAACAUACUAAUUUAUGUAUUAUUUAUGCACUUAAAGAAGCCUAGACUCCUGGCAAGAAAGAAAAAUGUGUGCACUGGAACUGCCAUCGUAUUCAACCCCAGCAUCCAGAGCAUUUCACGCAGGCACUGUGAAACCUCAUGGGGGAGAAUGGGAUACGGCAAGCAAGGUGGAAUUGGAAAUCAGCCUGGGUUUGAGCACCACCUCCAUCAUGAGACCAGGGGCAAACGACUGCACCUCUCUAGGCUUCAAUUUUCUCAUCUCCAAAAUAGAGAGAAAUGCCUGUUUGCAGGGUUAUUAUGAGAAUUAAAUGAGAAACGCAGUGCAUGAAUUUCGAAGUCAUUACAAAUGCCUGUUGUCAGUAUCCUGUGUGAGGAGGGGCGCAUGUGAAGCUUCUGGGUUUCUUGUCACAGAAGCCUUUCCUGACCGAAGACCCCAGUGGGAAGUGGCAACU